rnacentral:rRNA from 1 species
GAUGAAUGCUGGCGGCGCGCCUAACACAUGCAAGUCGAGCGGUAACAUGGACUUCGGUCUGAUGACGAGCGGCGGACGGCUGAGUAACGCGUGGGAACAUGCCCCAAAGUGAGGAAUAACUGCCCGAAAGGGUAGCUAAUGCCGCAUAUGAUCUUCGGAUUAAAGGAUUUAUCCGCUUUGGGAGUGGCCCGCGUUCGAUUAGGUAGUUGGUGAGGUAAAGGCUCACCAAGCCUACGAUCGAUAACUGGUCUAAGAGGAUGAUCAGUCAGACUGGAACUGAGACACGGUCCAGACUCCUACGGGAGGCAGCAGUGAGGAAUCUUCCACAAUGGGCGAAAGCCUGAUGGAGCGACGCCGCGUGCAGGAUGAAGGCCUUCGGGUUGUAGACUGCUUUUAUAAGUGAAGAAUAUGACGGUAACUUAUGAAUAAGCACCGGCUAACUACGUGCCAGCCGCCGCGGUAA